GACGAACGCUGGCGGCGUGCCUAAUACAUGCAAGUUGAGCGCUGAAGGUUGGUACUUGUACCAACUGGAUGAGCAGCGCACGGGUGAGUAACGCGUGGGGAAUCUGCCUUUGAGCGGGGGACAACAUUCGGAAACGAAUGCUAAUACCGCAUAAAAACUUUAAACACAAGUUUUAAGUUUGAAAGAUGCAAUUGCAUCACUCAAAGAUGAUCCCGCGUUGUAUUAGCUAGUUGGUGAGGUAAAGGCUCACCAAGGCGAUGAUACAUAGCCGAACUGAGAGGGUGAUCGGCCACAUUGGGACUGAGACACGCCCCAAACUGCUACGGGAGGCAGCAGUAGGGAAUCUUCGGCAAUGAACGAAAGUCUGACCGAGCAACGCGGAGUGAGUGAAGAAGAUUGUCGGAUCGUAAAACUCUGUUGGUAGAGAAGAACGUUGGUGAGAGUGGAAAGCUCAUCAAGUGACGGUAACUACCCAGAAAGGGACGGCUAACUACGUG
rnacentral:rRNA from 1 species